rnacentral:rRNA from 1 species
AACUCGGCUGCAUGAAGCUGGAAUCGCUAGUAAUCGCGGAUCAGAACGCCGCGGUGAAUGCGUUCCCGGGUCUUGUACACACCGCCCGUCACACCAUGAGAGCCGGAAACGCCCGAAGCCAGCGGCCUAACCGCAAGGAGGGAGCUGUCGAAGGCGGGGCCGGUGACCGGGGUGAAGUCGUAACAAGGUACC